rnacentral:rRNA from 1 species
CGCGGCCUACGGGGGGCAGCAGUGGGGAAUAUUGCACAAUGGGGGAAACCCUGAUGCAGCGACGCCGCGUGAGUGAAGAAGUAAUUCGUCAUGUAAAGCUCUAUCAGCAGGGAAGAAAAUGACGGUACCUGAGUAAGAAGCCCCGGCUAACUACGUGCCAGCAGCCGCGGUAAUACGUAGGGGGCAAGCGUUAUCCGGAUUUACUGGGUGUAAAGGGAGCGUAGACGGCGGUGCAAGUCUGGAGUGAAAGGCGAGGGCUCAACUCCCGGACUGCUCUGGAAACUGUACGGCUGGAGUGCAGGAGG